AACGAACGCUGGCGGCAUGCCUAACACAUGCAAGUCGAACGAGACCUUCGGGUCUAGUGGCGCACGGGUGCGUAACGCGUGGGAAUCUGCCCUUGGGUUCGGAAUAACUUCGGGAAACUGAAGCUAAUACCGGAUGAUGACGUAAGUCCAAAGAUUUAUCGCCCAAGGAUGAGCCCGCGUAGGAUUAGCUAGUUGGUGAGGUAAAGGCUCACCAAGGCGACGAUCCUUAGCUGGUCUGAGAGGAUGAUCAGCACACUGGGACUGAGACACGGCCCAGACUCCUACGGAGGCAGCAGUGGGGAAUAUUGGACAAUGGCGAAAGCCUGAUCCAGCAAU
rnacentral:rRNA from 1 species